GCCCUUGUAGCUUAUCCAAAGCAUGACACUGAAGCUGUCAAGAUGUCCCCUAAAAAGUUCCAAAGGCA
rnacentral:tRNA from 1 species